GACGGAGGAUGCAAGUGUUAUCCGGAAUCACUGGGCGUAAAGCGUCUGUAGGUGGUCAAAUAAGUCAACUGUUAAAUCUUGAGGCUCAACCUCAAAAUCGCAGUCGAAACUAUUCGACUAGAGUAUAGUAGGGGUAAAGGGAAGUUUCCAGUGGAGCGGUGGAAAUGCGUAGAGAUUGGAAAGAACACCGAUGGCGAAGGCACUUUACUGGGCUAUUACUAACACUGAGAGAC
rnacentral:rRNA from 1 species